rnacentral:misc_RNA from 1 species
GGACGAAGCAUCAUUCCUCCUCCGAUCCAAUCAGCGAACCCAAAAAGCGCCGUCGCGUCGGAUUCUCUAAGACCGAUGCCGGAAUUGAAGCUAACGACUGCAUUACUAUAUACAUUGUUUCUAGCGCAGAGGAAGUUGACUCCCCAAACAGUUUCUGUCUUGAACCAAUUGACUUGAAUCAAUUUUUUGAAGACGAUGGCAGAAUAUUUGGGUAUCAGGGUCUCAAAAUCACU